CAUCGCCUCCUGCCCACUCAGCAUAGGAGGUCCCGCCUGCCCUGUGACCAAAAGUUUAACGGCCGCGGUAUUUUAACCGUGCAAAGGUAGCGCAAUCAAUUGUCUUUUAAAUGAAGACCUGUAUGAAUGGCAUAACGAGGGUUUAACUGUCUCUUUUUUCAGGUCAAUGAAACUGAUCUGUCCGUGCAGAAGCGGACAUAUUUACACAAGACGAGAAGACCCUAUGGAGCUUUAGACGCCCACCAACCGCGAAAAGCAGCCUACCUUAACAGAUGCUCUAAACAACGCGGUCCUGGUACAAACGUCUUCGGUUGGGGCGACCGCGGAGGAGAACAAAGCCUCCGAGAGGAAUGGGAACAAACCCUAAAACCAAGAGCCACAGCUCUAAGUCACAAAAAAUUUGACCGACAAUGAUCCGGCUUACUGCCGAUCAACGGACCAAGUUACCCUAGGGAUAACAGCGCAAUCCCCUCCCAGAGUCCAUAUCGACGAGGGGGUUUACGACCUCGAUGUUGGAUCAGGACAUCCUAAUGGUGCAGCCGCUAUUAAGGGUUCGUUUGUUCAACGAUUAAAGUCCUACGUG
rnacentral:rRNA from 1 species